rnacentral:rRNA from 1 species
GGGAGGAAAGUAGAGCUUGAUAAGGUAAUUUGUACCUUCUCCCGAAUUGAAAAUAGUUCAUCACUGAAAUCAGUUCCAGUGAUUCCUACACCAAUUAGUGAGGAAGCUAAUGAUGAUGAUCAUGAAACUUCAGAUCAAGUUACUACAGAACCUCGUAGGUCUUCCAAAGUACGGUCCGCACCAGUGUGGUACGGUAAUCCUGUUCUGAAAGUCAUGUUACUAGACCAUGAUAAACCUACGAACUAUGAGGAAGCGAUGAUGAGCCCAGAUUCUGCGAAAUGGCUUAAGGCCAUAAAAUCUGAGAUAUGA